rnacentral:rRNA from 1 species
UCGUGCACGUUCUCGCGUGCGCAAACUUUGAACUCGACCUCAAAUCAGGUGGGACUACCCGCUGAACUUAAGCAUAUCAAUAAGCGGAGGAAAAGAAACUAACAAGGAUUCCCCUAGUAACUGCGAGUGAAGCGGGAAAAGCUCAAAUUUAAAAUCUGGCGGUCUCCUGGCCGUCCGAGUUGUAAUUUAGAGAAGCGUUUUCCGCGUCGGACCGUGUACAAGUCUCCUGGAACGGAGCGUCGUAGAGGGUGAGAAUCCCGUCUUUGACACGGACAACCGGGGCUAUGUGAUACGCUCUCGAAGAGUCGAGUUGUUUGGGAAUGCAGCUCAAAAUGGGUGGUGAACUCCAUCUAAAGCUAAAUAUUGGCGAGAGACCGAUAGCGAACAAGUACCGUGAGGGAAAGAUGAAAAGCACUUUGGAAAGAGAGUGAAACAGUACGUGAAAUUGCUGAAAGGGAAACGCUUGAAGUCAGUCGCGUUCGCCGGGACUCAGCCCUCGUGGCGUACUUUCCGGUGGACGGGUCAGCAUCACUUUCGGGCGUCGGACAAUGGCGGGGGAAAUGUGGCACCCUUCGGGGUGUGUUAUAGUCCUUCGUCGGAUACGGCGUUCGGGAGUGAGGACUGCCUUUGUUUGCAGGAUGCUGGCGUAAUGGCUUUAAACGACCCGUCUUGAAACACGGACCAAGGAGUCUAACAUGCCCGCGAGUGUUCGGGUGGCAAACCCGUGCGCGUAAUGAAAGUGAAAGGUUGGGAAGGCUGUCGUGGCCUGCACCGACGCCCGGACCUGAGAUUCAUCGACGGUUCUGCGGUAGAGCGUGUAUGUUGGGACCCGAAAGAUGGUGAACUAUGCCUGAUAGGGUGAAGCCAGAGGAAACUCUGGUGGAGGCUCGUAGCGAUCUGACGUGCAAAUCGAUCGUCGAGUUGG